CUCCAGGUCCCGCCGCCGACCGCCCCUGGCGGCCCAGGGCGGCCGGUGCCGAGUUCUGUGUCGCCUCGAAGUCAGUCGGGCGUGUCGAGGCCGUCAGGCCAGGCCAUUCGCUCCGCCUUGCCUCCCCAGCGGUACUCGGGCCUCCACUCGCUUCGCUGGCGUUAGCACAUUCUGUUUUGACCACACCCGGAAGACUUGGGAAGUGUUCCUCAUCCUUAGAGCUGUCUCUUCAAAACCACCUGAAUUAACAACCUAAAAAUGCUUUUGAUGCUGUGGAACUUGCCCACAAUAAAAACAUUAAAGCAUUGAAUGAGAAAGAAUGGGAUCCUGAAAAUUGGAAUGGGGACAGCUGCUUGAACACAGAUGAAGCUAAUCAUCUUGAAACUACAAGUCACUCCAAGCUACCUCUAUUAAAGAAAGAAGUUUGCCCUCUG